AUUGAACGCUGGCGGAAUGCUUUACACAUGCAAGUCGAACGAUGAAGCCUAGCUUGCUAGGUCGAUUAGUGGCGAACGGGUGAGUAAUAUAUCGGAACGUAUCCAAUAAUGGGGGAUAACUAGUCGAAAGAUUGGCUAAUACCGCAUACGUCCUACGGGAGAAAGCUGGGGAUCGUAAGACCUGGCGUUAAUGGAGCGGCCGAUAUCUGAUUAGCUAGUUGGUGAGGUAAAGGCUCACCAAGGCGACGAUCAGUAGCUGGUCUGAGAGGACGACCAGCCACACUGGAACUGAGACACGGUCCAGACUCCUACGGGAGGCAGCAGUGGGGAAUUUUGGACAAUGGGCGAAAGCCUGAUCCAGCCAUUCCGCGUGAGUGAAGAAGGCCUUCGGGUUGUAAAGCUCUUUCGCAAGGGAAGAGCACUUACUUAAUAACACUAAGUGAGGUUGACGGUACCUUGAUAAGAAGCACCGGCUAACUACGUGCCAGCCGCCGCGGUAAGAC
rnacentral:rRNA from 1 species